CCUACGGGAGGCAGCAGUGAGGAAUAUUGGUCAAUGGGCGAGAGUCUGAACCAGCCAAGUCGCGUGAAGGAUGACUGCCCUAUGGGUUGUAAACUUCUUUUAUUUGGGAAUAAAAAGUGUUAUGAAUACCCUCUUGUAUGUACCAUAUGAAUAAGCAUCGGCUAACGCCGUGCCAGCAGCCGCGUUAAUACGGUGGAUCCGAGCGUUAUCCGGAUUUAUUGGGUUUAAAGGGAGCGUAGGUGGGUUGUUAAGUCAGUUGUGAAAGUUUGGAGCGUAACCGUAAGAUUGCAUUUGAUACUGGCAGGCUUGAGUACAGGAGAGGUGGGCGGAAUACGUGGUGUAGCGGUGAAAUGCGUAGAUAUCACGAAGAACUCCGAUAGCGAAGGCAGCUCACUGGACUGAAACUGACACUGAUGCGCGAAAGUGUGGGUAUCAAACAGGAUUAGAUACCCGUGUAGUC
rnacentral:rRNA from 1 species